AGGGGAUGUAGCUCAGUGGUAGAGCGUUCGCUUU
rnacentral:sRNA from 1 species